rnacentral:pre_miRNA from 14 species
AGAGGCUCCACUCCGUCUGCCCAGUGUUCAGACUACCUGUUCAGGACUACGAGAUUGUACAGUAGUCUGCACAUUGGUUAGGCUGUGCUGGGAUACAC